GAUCAUGUUUAAGUACAGAAGGUUCUUGAACUUUCAUUGAUGCAGUGGCUCUUCGCUUUGUUGACAAUGAAAUGUUCUACACUUUCUUUAAAAACAAAUGGUUUAAAAACUACCACACUUAACUGAAAAAAAAGCAAAAACAAAAAGUAAAUACUUUUCAAGCCAGCUGACCACCUUUUGUUCACAGCUAGGAAUGGUAGCAGAAUGCUAUGUGGUUAGAUACAGAAACAAGACAACCUGAAGCUAAAUGGAUGCCCAGUGCAUAGUCAACAGGCCCAGCCUCACAGUGCACAGCCUGAGCUACGGCCACUCCCAGAGGCAUCUUCUACCACAGCCUCAACAUCAAGCAAAGAGCAUCAAGAGUUUGUCUUGGUUGUUUUGUUCGUUUUACAAACUAUGGAUAUAUGCAAUUGAUAACUCAGGAUUUCUAGCUAAUAACCAUGUAGUUAACACUACCUUACAAAUUAAAAAAAAAAAAAUGCCAGAAGCACCUUUAAAUGCCUUAUCACACUAACAGCAAAGCACACAGAGUGAGGAGAGCAUGAAGUUGCCUUUUCAUUUUAAAAAUAUUUGGAAAUAUGUACAACUUUGAUAUAGUUUCAGGGUGCUCUAGACCCACUUGACCACUUCAUGUAAAGAGUUUCUAGUUUGAGAAACAACAAUAUGAUCAUAAUCAAACUUUGUAAUUAAAACUAAUGAGGGCAACAGAUACUUCUCAAAUAAGAGAUGUGUCAAUUACAGCUCUCCCCUACUUCAAGGCAGGUGUCCCCAACCCCUGGGCCAUAGAUAGAUACCAGUCAGUGGCCUGUUAGGAACCAGGCCACACAGCAGGAGGUGAGUGGCAAGUGAGCAAAGCUUCAUCUGUAUUUACAACCACUCCCCAUGGCUCACAUUACCAUCUGAGCUCCGCCUCCUGUCAGAUCAGCAGCAGCUCUCAUAGGAGAGCAAACCCUGUUGUAAACUGUGCAUACGAGGGAUCUAGUUUACCUGCUUCUUAUGAGAAUCUAACUAAUGCCUGAUGAUCUGUCACUGCCUCCCAUCACCCCCAGAAAGACUGUCUAGUUGAAGGAAAACAAGCUCUGGGCUCCCACUGAUUCUACGUUAUGAGGAAUUUCUCAAGAUUUUAUCUUUACUGAUUGAUUUCUAAGGGAUGCUACUUGCUUCUAACAUCAUGUUAAUCAGCAAUGUAAGCUCUGGCAUAGCUUACCAACCCUAAGAGUGGCAGGGAGUUGCUCUGUGUAAUGGUGGAGUACUCAGCUGUCUUCUCCAUGGUGGUUGAGUUCUCUGGAUGGGAUCAGCUUUCUUCACAUGUCACUGAAGUGAAAGGGGACAAUUGAAACCUAUUUUGACAGGUUUAAAAGCUAAAGCCAAGCCAGGAAGAGGAAGACAAGAUGAGAAACCCCAAAUCAAGGUAAGAGAAGAAAAUAAGUGCAACAUGCCAGAAAUCCAGUAAAGCAGUUCAAGUAUCAGAAGAGCGUGAAUCAAAACCAAGUGCAAGAAGAGGCACCUUGACAUUGAACUGAAGGCCACCAGGUACUCACUGGGUCAAUGACUCUUCUCAUUUUUAUUCUCCUGCCAGUGCUUCCAAUCGCUGAACUGAACUGGGAACAAAUCAACAAGGGAAACCAAGAGAUGCAUUCCUUGAAGUUCAGCCUCCAGGCCUCAAGUAAGGCAGAGGAAGAGAAUACAUAGAUCUGUGGAGAAGAGUGGUGAUGGUGGGAGCUGCCAAUAAAGAACUAUCAAAAAAGGAUGAUGCAACAGAAAAGCCGUCACCAGAUACCAGCACCUUAAUGUUGGACUUCUCAGCCUCCAGAACUACUUUACACCAGGAAGAGUUCCUUUUAAAAUUGGCCUGGGUGGCAGAGGUCAGAACAUACACAAUUCAACAACAACUUGCGCCACCCACCUCCAAUUCCCUGCUCUACAGGACCAUCCUGACUUCCACAGUGACCCGAGCACUGGCAUUCCAAGGACUCAAAUGACCACCUUCCUCGCCCUUCAAUAAGUAUCUCUCAGUGAAGAAAGUAUUUGGAUGAAUGACAGAAAGCAUCCUGAACUGUGCACCUGCAAAAGAUAUUUCACACAUUCCUUUUUGGACAUUUUGUUAUUUUCCUCUAAGCCGAUAGCCUUUCCAUCUUGUGCAGGAAAGAUCAUUAAGUAUUUCAUAGGCAUAAACAUUUCAUGUUCAAAACUUUUGGUACUUCAGUUGUAAUAUUGUUAUUGUACUACAUAAAUCUAAAAUAAAACCAGCUUCUCUGCCCAGUACCUAUCAGCUGCAAUUUAGGGGAAGUGCCUUUAUAUUUAUAUCCUAUGGGCCCAAUCAGGUAGAAAGAGAAUUAUUCUUUAUCUUGUCUAAUGUCCCCAAAUCUCCCAGGUCCCAAGUCACAGAAAGGCAAUGUGGUAGCAUUCUUCUGGGGACUCAUCAGAUAUAUCCUCAAAGUACUUUUGUCAAAUACAUUAUUCUAAUCAAUGUGAAUCCUAAAAUGUUAUUAUUAAUAGUAUAGUUAUAUGUUGUCAAUUUUUUUUGGAAUAUGAAUCAUUUUUGUAAGUAAUAUGUCAUUUGAUUGUCUCAAAAAUUCUAUCAAGUUAUCCCAUUUUGUGGGUCAAAGAACUAAGGUUCAGGAACAUGAAGGGACUUGCUUCAAUUAAUUGGUCAGGAUGUGAUGGCGGGGAGAUUUGGAGAGGCUCCAGGGUCCAAGGUUGAGCCUUUGUGCUAUUCUAUGUCACUUGGCUUCUGGCAGAGCACAGAUCUUAGAUGUUUAGCUCUUCAGUCACAGGAUGGAGAGGAGGGAAAGUCAGAAGCACGGAGGCGGUCCUGUUGUGUAGCACUGAUUUUCAGAAUCUUCCCCCAACACUUCAUCUUCCUCCUUGUUCUUUUCCUGGCCAAGCCUUAAUUGACCAGUUCUACUUCUAGUUAAGGACCAAUUCCUUCUGGCCCAGUGCUACAAGGACAUUAGCAAUCCCACUCCUUCACGAAGCUGAUUGUGAGUCAUGCCAGUUCCUCCUCCAGGCAGAACCAGGUGUGGGCACUCUUUCUGAGCUCCGCAUCGAACAUGGGGACCUGUGAUGCAGUGUUUUCAGCUCCCACUGGAGAGAUGCAGAGAGGGCGAUUUAUCAGUGACAGUCAAAAAAGCUGGUUCUGCCUCUUUCUAGAGGCAGAUGCAGGGGCCUAGAUGUUGUUAUUAAUCAUUCGUAAACGGUUCUGUGUUCAAAAUAGCAGUGUUUAAAUAUUUCAGAACAGGUCCAGCCUCAUAAAAAGUGGGUUAUGGGCUGUCAUGAUAACAUUUCAUCUCCUUCACCAUGUUGUGGCCGAGAGAAAUAAGCUGUCACUGCCACUUGCAUCCCUGACCCUCCAACAUGCCAGGGCACAGCAGCCAAUGGAGUGUGCUGGCAGCAAGGCAGGGGGGAGAAAGGCAGGACUACUCCAUCAAGAUACCACCAUGAACCAAAAGGGCAAUUUUCCCAUAUUUAGGCUGCCUGUUUGGGUUAACUAUCAACCAAAGACCUUUGUUUUUAAACAGAACCUUUUUUCUCUUUCACAUUUGAUAAAUAAAAGCCUUAGACUGAAAUUCUUUCUGAUUUUACUGCUUCCUUUAAGUUUUACCUCAUGACAUUUUGGAUAGACUGAAUGAAAUCAUAGUUUAUUUCCCUCCCUAUUCCGGUGCCUACCCUGCCCCGCACCUUUCCCACUUUCCCAGUUCUCGGAAUCUGUCUGACGUAACUGUUUAGGGAAGAUGGUAUUAACCUGAUAGCAUCUGAGGAACACCUGCCUGCAUUAUCACUACUUUACUCUGAGUUAGAAACCCCGUGCCCUUUUCAAUAACAAGAACAGGGAGAAACCAUCGUGAA
rnacentral:lncRNA from 1 species